rnacentral:rRNA from 1 species
UACGGGAGGCAGCAGGGGGAAUAUUGCACAAUGGGCGCAAGCCUGAUGCAGCCAUGCCGCGUGUAUGAAGAAGGCCUUCGGGUUGUAAAGUACUUUCAGUCGUGAGGAAGGUGUUAAGGUUAAUAACCUUAGCAAUUGACGUUAGCGACAGAAGAAGCACCGGCUAACUCCGUGCCAGCAGCCGCGGUAAUACGGAGGGUGCGAGCGUUAAUCGGAAUUACUGGGCGUAAAGGGCACGCAGGCGGUUAAUUAAGUUGGAUGUGAAAUCCCCGGGCUUAACCUGGGAAUGGCAUUCAAGACUGGUUAGCUAGAGUCUUGUAGAGGGGGUAGAAUUCCAUGUGUAGCGGUGAAAUGCGUAGAGAUGUGGAGGAAUACCGGUGGCGAAGGCGGCCCCUGGGACAAAGGCUGACGCUCAUGUGCGAAAGCGUGGGGAGCAAACAGGGAUUAGAUACC